UGUUGAAAAUUUCAUCUAUUUUUAUUGUUAAAAAUUGAUAUGGUUGACAGAAUAACCAGCCACGUGUACCUCAUUCUAGUAUAUAGGGACUAGUUUUUAAUAGUAUAAAUGGGUGAAAUUUUUAGUA
rfam:Gossypium raimondii Chr10_contig_50, whole genome shotgun sequence.